rnacentral:rRNA from 1 species
UACGGAGGGUGCAAGCGUUAAUCGGAAUUACUGGGCGUAAAGCGCACGCAGGUGGCUGAGUCAGUCGAUUGUGAAAGCCCUGGGCUUAACCUGGGAAUUGCAGUCGAUACUACUCAGCUAGAGUAUGGGAGAGGGCAGUGGAAUUCCAGGUGUAGCGGUGAAAUGCGUAGAUAUCUGGAGGAACACCGGUGGCGAAGGCGACAUCCUGGACCGGUAUUGACGCUGAGGCGCGAAAGCCAGGGGAGCAAACGGG